ACGGCAACCGACUCUAUCGCCGGCCGCCGUCUUCACGGACGGUGGCGGGAGGAAAGUCCGGGCAACACGGGCCGCCAUACUUCCUAACAGGAAGGCUGCAGGGAGGCAAGAGCCCUGCAGACAGCGAGUGCCACAGAAAGACAGACCGCCGGGGGCGUGCCUCCGGUAAGGGUGCAAGCGCGAGGUAAGAGCUCACGACGGCGGACAGCGAUGUCCGCUGGUGGUAAACCUUAUGGGUUGAAAGACCAAAUAUACCGACAGAUAAGGGCGGGCCCGCCCGUUGUCGGGGGGUAGGUCGAUAGAGGCCGCCGGCGACGACGGCAGUAGAUUGAUGAUAGAGACUGCCCUUCGGGGCAGGACAGAACCCGGCUUAUGACGUUGCCGUUCCC
rnacentral:RNase_P_RNA from 1 species